rnacentral:rRNA from 1 species
ACCAAGGCGACGAUCGGUAGCCGGACUGAGAGGUUGAACGGCCACAUUGGGACUGAUACACGGCCCAGACUCCUACGGGAGGCAGCAGUGGGGAAUAUUGCACAAUGGGGGAAACCCUGAUGCAGCGACGCCGCGUGGAGGAAGAAGGUCUUCGGAUUGUAAACUCCUGUUGUUGAGGAAGAUAAUGACGGUACUCAACAAGGAAGUGACGGCUAACUACGUGCCAGCAGCCGCGGUAAAACGUAGGUCACAAGCGUUGUCCGGAAUUACUGGGUGUAGAGGGAGCGCAGGCGGGCGAUCAAGUUGGAAGUGAAAUCCAUGGGCUCAACCCAUGAACUGCUUUCAAAACUGAUUGUCUUGAGUAGUGCAGAGGUAGGCGGAAUUCCCGGUGUAGCGGUGGAAUGCGUAGAUAUCGGGAGGAACACCAGUGGCGAAGGCGGCCUACUGGGCACCAACUGACGCUGAGGCUCGAAAGUGUGGGUAGCAAACAGGAUUAGAUACCCUGGUAGUCCACACCGUAAACGAUGAUUACUAGGUGUUGGAGGAUUGACCCUUUCAGUGCCGCAGUUAACACAAUAAGUAAUCCACCUGGGGAGUACGACCGCAAGGUUGAAACUCAAAGGAAUUGACGGGGGCCCGCACAAGCAGUGGAGUAUGUGGUUUAAUUCGACGCAACGCGAAGAGCCUUACCAAGUCUUGACAUCCUGCGACGAUGCUAGAAAUAGUAUUUUCCUUCGGGACGCAGAGACAGGUGGUGCAUGGUUGUCGUCAGCUCGUGUCGUGAGAUGUUGGGUUAAGUCCCGCAACGAGCGCAACCCUUAUGGUCAGUUACUACGCAAGAGGACUCUGGCCAGACUGCCGUUGACAAAACGGAGGAAGGUGGGGAUGACGUCAAAUCAUCAUGCCCUUUAUGACUUGGGCUACACACGUACUACAAUGGCGUUAAACAAAGAGAAGCAAGACCGCGAGGUGGAGCAAAACUCAGAAACAACGUCCCAGUUCGGACUGCAGGCUGCAACUCGCCUGCACGAAGUCGGAAUUGCUAGUAAUCGCAGAUCAGCAUGCUGCGGUGAAUACGUUCCCGGGCCUUGUACACACCGCCCGUCACACCAUGAGAGCCGGGGGGACCCGAAGUCGGUAGUCUAACCGCAAGGAGGACGCCGCCGAAGGUAAAACUGGUGAUUGGGGUGAAGUCGUAACAAGGUAG